CCACAGCUGCCUCCUCCCUAAGAAAUGAUUCUGCCUAAAUCCGGCUUUGUGUCCGACCCAGCACUGAGCCAGAGGGUAUCGCUGUCAAGUAUAACGUAGACUCCGCUUUAUUGUGGGGCACUGGUAUUUUGGGGAUUCUUGGUGUCUCGUGAGGUUUCCUGGGUCACUCUUCAUAAUGGUUAGUUCUGGGCCUGGUCUGGACGAACUGUCCAUCCUGUGGUCCUAGUUUGGGGUUUUUGAAGGACCAGCCCAAGAUUCUGGGGCCCAGGGAGCUCCAAGAUUUGAGACCCUAAUGGUAGGUUACAACUAAAAUGAUUUUGUCCCUGACAUUCGUGUCCUGAUUCCUAGGAACCAAGCUCUUGUAAAGAGGAAUCCCACCUGUAAGAUCGCCAGUCUGAAUGGCGAUCCCGGACCAGGGCUGCAGAGCAGAGGAGGGCGAGGCAGAGAAAGAGCAGACUGUAGAUUUGCAGGGCUAGUAGUAGUAUGUGAUCCUUGUGUUGUGCAAGCCACCCUUCAACCUUGACAACCUGAGUUCUGAGCCAGGUUUUAGGAGAGGUGAGUUAGGGCUAAGGCCAAAGGGCAAGCCUGCCAAGGAAAGCUCACUUCAUUUGCAGGUUUGAGAGAGGAUGGUCUGGGAGAAAGAAAUACCACCUACCACCAAGAAAAUUCUUUUUUUGGGGGGGGGUUGGUGACGGCAUUUUUCUUUUAUUGAAGUAUAGUUGACAUACAUUAUAUUGGUUUCAGGCGUACAACAUAGUAAUUUGACAAUUAUGUACAGUACAAAAUUCUCACCACGGCAGGUGUAGUUACCCUCUGUGGGUUACACUGGUUUUCAACCCACCAAGAAAAUUCUGAGACCUCUCUAACAGACUUUGAGGUCUUUCAAAUGCUCCACCCUUUUCAGAUCCUGAGGGGCCCUGAUGCCACAUGCGGCACUGACAGAUGUGUUGCAUCCUCUCCUCUGACUUCGCAGACUCAGAAAGUAGAGCAGGAAAGAACUUCUGGGUUACCUGUUUCUGCCUACAAUGAAAGAUGAAAAACACUGAGCCAGAGAGGCUCCACCUUUGUAGUUCCCUACAUGUUUCCUAGUUCCAUAGAAAAUGAAUAGAUCUCAGAGGAUGCGCAAGUAGGGGAGGGAAAGAGAGGAUCCAAAG